rnacentral:rRNA from 1 species
AGCAGCCGCGGUAAUUCCAGCUCCAAUAGCGUAUAUUAAAGUUGUUGCAGUUAAAAAGCUCGUAGUUGAAUUUCGGAAUCAGUAUGUUGGUCGUGCUUCGGUACGUACUGUCAUUACUGGUUUCUACCUUCUGAAGAACCUUGAUGUCAUUAAUUUGGUGUCUUGGGGAAUCAGGACUGUUACUUUGAAAAAAUUAGAGUGUUUAAAGCAAGCAUACGCUUGAAUACAUUAGCAUGGAAUAAUGAAAUAGGACGUUUGAUUCUAUUUUGUUGGUUUCUAGGAUCGACGUAAUGAUUAAUAGGGAUAGUUGGGGGCAUUAGUAUUCAAUUGUCAGAGGUGAAAUUCUUGGAUUUAUUGAAGACUAACUACUGCGAAAGCAUUUGCCAAGGAUGUUUUCAUUAAUCAAGAACGAAAGUUAGGGGAUCGAAGACGAUCAGAUACCGUCGUAGU